CCAAGACGCACAAACACACGCACAUGCUGAACUGCAGCGUCAACACCUCUAAUUUUAGGCUGCAGCCAGUUAAAAUAUACACAUCAACCUACCGAAAUCAAAGCCCCUCUUACUACUUUGAAAUCACUUGCAAUUAAAACUAAAUUA